GGCGGCGUGCUUAACACAUGCAAGUCGAACGGAAAGGCCCUGCUUUUGUGGGGUGCUCGAGUGGCGAACGGGUGAGUAACACGUGAGUAACCUGCCCUUGACUUUGGGAUAACUUCAGGAAACUGGGGCUAAUACCGGAUAGGAGCUCCUGCUGCAUGGUGGGGGUUGGAAAGUUUCGGCGGUUGGGGAUGGACUCGCGGCUUAUCAGCUUGUUGGUGGGGUAGUGGCUUACCAAGGCUUUGACGGGUAGCCGGCCUGAGAGGGUGACCGGCCACAUUGGGACUGAGAUACGGCCCAGACUCCUACGGGAGGCAGCAGUGGGGAAUAUUGCGCAAUGGGCGGAAGCCUGAUGCAGCAACGCCGCGUGCGGGAUGACGGCCUUCGGGUUGUAAACCGCUUUCGCCUGUGACGAAGCGUGAGUGACGGUAAUGGGUAAAGAAGCACCGGCUAACUACGUGCCAGCAGCCGCGGUGAUACGUAGGGUGCGAGCGUUGUCCGGAUUUAUUGGGCGUAAAGGGCUCGUAGGUGGUUGAUCGCGUCGGAAGUGUAAUCUUGGGGCUUAACCCUGAGCGUGCUUUCGAUACGGGUUGACUUGAGGAAGGUAGGGGAGAAUGGAAUUCCUGGUGGAGCGGUGGAAUGCGCAGAUAUCAGGAGGAACACCAGUGGCGAAGGCGGUUCUCUGGGCCUUUCCUGACGCUGAGGAGCGAAAGCGUGGGGAGCGAACAGGCUUAGAUACCCUGGUAGUCCACGCUGUAAACGGUGGGUACUAGGUGUGGGGUCCAUUCCACGGGUUCCGUGCCGUAGCUAACGCUUUAAGUACCCCGCCUGGGGAGUACGGCCGCAAGGCUAAAACUCAAAGGAAUUGACGGGGCCCCGCACAAGCGGCGGAGCAUGCGGAUUAAUUCGAUGCAACGCGUAGAACCUUACCUGGGUUUGACAUGGAUCGGGAGCGCUCAGAGAUGGGUGUGCCUCUUUUGGGGUCGGUUCACAGGUGGUGCAUGGCUGUCGUCAGCUCGUGUCGUGAGAUGUUGGGUUAAGUCCCGCAACGAGCGCAACCCUUGUUCACUGUUGCCAGCACGUUAUGGUGGGGACUCAGUGGAGACCGCCGGGGUCAACUCGGAGGAAGGUGGGGAUGACGUCAAGUCAUCAUGCCCCUUAUGUCCAGGGCUUCACGCAUGCUACAAUGGCUGGUACAGAGAGUGGCGAGCCUGUGAGGGUGAGCGAAUCUCGGAAAGCCGGUCUCAGUUCGGAUUGGGGUCUGCAACUCGACCUCAUGAAGUCGGAGUCGCUAGUAAUCGCAGAUCAGCAACGCUGCGGUGAAUACGUUCCCGGGGCUUGUACACACCGCCCGUCAAGUCAUGAAAGUUGGUAACACCCGAAGCCGGUGGCCUAACCGUUGUGGGGGAGCCGUCGAAGGUGGGACUGGUGAUUAGGACUAAGUC
rnacentral:rRNA from 1 species